rnacentral:lncRNA from 1 species
UUAAUGUUCCAUCAUCUUUCUACAAUUUCUCGUGCAUCCUUUACCAUUACGCUUUCUUUAUUUUUAGUUUUAGAUAACUGCCAUGUACCUUUCAUUUCUUAGUUUAAGAAAAAUAAUUUUUAAUUCUUGCUGAAAUGUGAUUUUCUGCUUUAGUUCAACGUUGCAUUUUAAUAGCUUUAAUUAUGUCUGGAUAUUUAUCUAUUGCAUCGUUCAGUUUAAUGCUUUCAUGCACUUUAAUGCUUUCAAUUAUAUUCGGUUGUGUUUAAAUUUUCCUUUUUAAUUUUGUCAUUUACAUUCACAAAAUCUUUCAUCAAAACCCCCCACUGAGUGUCUGACCUAACUCUCGAACCACAUUUGGUCCUUGAGAGACGACCUAGGAGUCACUUCCUAGCUAUACUGCAUUUCUCAUAUGUAAUCAAAUUUGUAUGGGUUGCGAUUUUGGCGCCGUUGCCGGGGACCAACGGUUCGAUUUUAGGUCUUUUGUUGUGUUAGUGUGUGUUAUGUUUUGUCUUGUGUUGUGAGUGUGAUGUUCUGUUUUGUGUGUUCGUUUUUGUAUGUGUGUAUUGUGUGUUGCAUUUAGGUAGCUUUAGUUGCAUAUUUUCAUUACAUUCUUCUUUUUCCCCCUUCUUUCCCAUGUCUACCUAUUUUGGUUAUGCGGAUACUGCUUCUUUUUCUUGUGUCUAUGAUUAUGAUU